AUGGGGGUAAAGCUCACGCUCCCGCCGGCGGCACUGAUCUCCCAGGUGGCCAAGCUGGGCUCCCUCCUCGCCCUCCUCCUCCUCGCGCUGCUGCUGCCCGUCUUCCUCAGGGUCGCCUACGGCUACCUCCUCUUCAACGGCAUCGUCCUCGCGCUCGGCAUCCAGGCCUUCGUCGGCAGCGGCGGCGCUUCCAUCGCCGACGACGAAGACCGGCACGGGUCUUCCUGUACCGGUGAGGCCGUCGCGCCCGUCGGUAUCGCGGCCUCGCCGUUCCAGAGGGCUGGAUCAGUCCAGCCCGACGAUCGGGAUCGUGUGGUGCUGGUACCUGCCUUUGUAGCGAGUAAUAUAAUCGAGCUGAAGACGAAGACCAAGGAGGUGGUCCUGAAGGUGCUGAAGAAGUGCCCGUCGACGGCGGGCAUCUUCUUCCUCAGCGCGCUGAACGGCAGCCAGGCCGGUGGAGAGGAAACGGUACGUCAAGAGGAGGAGGAGGAAGAUUGUGAAGUCGACAUGGACGGCGACGUGAAGAUGAGUCGGGAGGAGCUGUUUGCCAACACGGAGCGGUUCAUCGGCAACUUCCGCAGGGAGCUCAGCAUGCAGAGACAGUAG
rnacentral:rRNA from 1 species